AUGGUCUGGAGUUCCUGUAACUCUCCGAUUGCCAAAAUUAAAAAUUUAUUUAGGAGGCUCUCCAUCUUUCUGUUGUUUGUAUCACUGUGGUACACGUUUGGUGGAGGAACCACACUGAAUGUUAACUUGGAAAAUGCUCGUCCCACCCUGACAGUGCUGCCCCCCUCCAGUGAGGAGCUGCAGCAGGGGAAGGCCACCCUCAUGUGUCUGGCCAACAAGGGUUUCCCCUCAGACUGGAGUCUGUCCUGGAAAGUGGACGGCAGCAUUAACACCUUCACCUGGGAGGAGAACAAGAGCCGAGGAGUGCUGCAGAAGGACGGCCUCUACAGCUGGAGCAGCACCCUGAGGCUCACUGCAGACCAGUGGAGGAAGGUGGGCUCUGUGACCUGUGAGGCCACCCAGGGCUCCCAGUCUGCAGUCACAGAGACACUGAGGAGAGACCAGUGUUCCCAGUCCUGAGCUGAUUCAUAAUUUUUCUGAUCUUAAUUCUGAUUUAAAAAUAGUUUGUUGGAUCUUUCUGUUAAUCUUCAGAAUUUACUGACUUAGAAGCUCAAAUUCUUUUGAAAGACAAUAAAAUAUACAUAAUUA